AGGUCCCCAACACCGUCCUCAUCUGCAUGGUGAUCCUGCUUAACAUCGGCCUGGCGAUCCUCUUCGUUCACCUCCUGACCUGACCCUCGUCUGCCAGAGCCAGGAGUUCCUGCUGAGGACACAGAGACCCACCUUUCUGCAGUGCUGGGCAGGGUGGCCAAGGAGGACUGGACUCUGGACCCGGAGCCCUGGGUCCCAGCUCACACCCACGCUGCAAACAUUUAAGGAGGCCUCCCAUGGCGCCCGUGCUGGGUGACGGAGGUGUCCAGAGGGAUAGAAUGUGCUGGAAACCCUCCUAGAGCUUUGCCCAGGGGCAGGGAAAGCCCUGAUUGCUCCUGUCCCUCAUCCUCAUCCACUCCCUCACCUUGUCCGUAGGUCACCCCCUCCCUGGGCUUUGUGUGUUUUGGGAGAAGUCACCAAACCAGAGUAUUAAUAUGAACUCCCAGUCCCUUUCUUGCUCCCCCUCUCCUGCUUUAACUUAACCUCUGGCUGCUGGGCUGACAGCUCCCUGGGUGGGCCAGCCGCAAGGAGACGCUCUCAGAGGUCUUGACCCAGCACACACUCUGUCCCCUGCUUACAGGUGUUCUGGAUGACAGUAGAGGAAAUGGACAUGCUCGGUUUGAAUAUCCCAGAAUGCAGUGCUCCUGUCUCCUCCCACCUGUCCAGCUAGCUUCCCUUCCGGACCAACGGAAGAGGAGGAGACAGGAGGGACUGGAGCCUUUGGCUAGGAAGCUACCGACCAGGUGGCCAGGGAGUGGGGCUGGGAAGAAGGGCUGGGGAGUUAGGAUGGCCCCUGUGUUUGGGUGUGUCUGAGCCCGAGGCUGGCAUUGCACUUAGAGUUUCAAGUGUGCUCAGGGUGCGGAGGUCACCGUGCCGGAGCCUGGGCUGGCGAGAUAAAGCUGCCGUGAUGCCCGGUGAGUUGGUUUGGCCGCUUCCCCCACCAGGGCCCGCAGCAGGCUCAGGGGACAUUGCGCAUGGAAGCUUUUGGAAGCCCAGACAGAUUCCCCUGGGCCAGACGUUCAAGCAGGUGCUGAAGACAGGCUGCUUGUCAGCAAGCGUUUCCCAGGGAGAGGAGCAGGUCCAGGGCUCCCACCCGGUGCCUCUGUGUGAUGACGAGCUCCCGGCUUGCGUGGCAAAGAGGUUUGCAUGCAACUCGUCACAGGUGUUUGGCACCACCUGGGUCUCGGGCCCUGUGCUGGCUGCGGUGGGUAGAAGCUGAGGGCUGUCAGAGGCUGCCCCUGGGUGAAUGGAGUGAACGUUCCCGGCCCCCAGGCGGGAAGGACGGGACAGUGACGUCCAGGCAGAGCUGACCGGCUGCUGCUCUCCUUCCCUCUGUUCCUGUGGACCUGGGGGCCGUGGAGUGGUGGCCCGGCCUCCCUAGGCCAGCUCUGCGGCCUGAAGUGCCUUCUGAUGGGUGUGCUUCCCCUUCCCCCUCAAUACUUGGGACCUCUGUCCAGCUUCACACUUGCUGUUCAGCCCUGCGGGGGCCUCGCCAUGUGGCUGGGUCAUGGACUGCAUUUCUGCGGAGAGAAGCCUGCGGAUUCGCCAUCCUCCACUGGCCAGGGCCUGUGGCUCUGCCUCUGUGUUUGGGCUUUUCUGGACUCCUGGGGAAUGAGGGGCAGGUUGGACACUGCUGAGGGCUGCCAGGCUCCAGGCCUGGGCUCUGGGUCGUUGUCCAGGUUUCUUGGUCUGGCCCAAGCUGUCAGCUUCUAGGCCUGGUUUGAGGGCUGGUGUUUGGGGCAAGGGUUCCGGAUGCUGCAAUCUGUGCGAUAAUAAAUCUGCAUCUGCUCACAGGC